AAUAGGACAGUCCUGCUUACUUUUUACAUGCUUUCACAGUGGAAGGUGCAUUUCAGACGCGUUCAACUCAAAACAUACCAAAUUAUCAUUUAACUCAUCCCACAAAAUAUAUAAAAAAAUGGAAGACAAAUACUUAAAUACUGAGGACAUUGAGGAAAUCACAGCAGCACAUAUUUAUCCUGUGAUCAGAUCUUUCUUUGAAAAUUUGACGGCUGUACAGUGGCAUACCAUUAGAUCAGGAGACUUGGACAUUGCCACUAAGAGUCUUCUAGGAGAGCUCAUUGUAGGGAUAACUGAAAUAGGUUUGAAACACUUUGAAAUGAUGACUCAGAAUGCCAACACUGAAAUAUCAGAAGAUGUACUUCCACAGGCUUUUGCUAAAGCUUUGGAAAUGGUUCCUCAGGGCGACAAGGGAAGUACUGAAAACUUAGAACAUCUGCUUGCUAAGGAGGUUGUGCUAAGUAUUAUAUCUGCACAGUCUUCUGACAGCAAAACAAGUUUUGGAGAACGCGAGCACAUCCUUCCUCCAAAACGGCUGAACAAAAUGAUCCAUUUUGUUGGGAGAAUGAUUAGAGCUUUCAUCUCCAAGAUAAAUUAUUUCAGCACGAGCACUGAUACCAGUAGCUCCAGUAGCUCCAGUGAUUCAGAUGAGGACACUAAAAUGUUAGAUAGUCCAAGUGUUCCAAAAGAAUAUCUGGAUCAAGGAUAUAAAACACCCACGAUAGGCUCCCAGGACAGCUUAGAUAGUGAAUUUCUGGAAACUGUGACAUUUCACAUCAAAAAUGCUGCUGAUAAUUUUUUUCCACUUUUGCAUAAAACUAUGUCUCCUCAUUAUAACAAGGAGCAACCACAAACAACUGAAGAGAUUGAGGAAAUUGCAAGACAGCUCACAUUCUUAGUUGAGGCAAAGAUUCAAUGUUCUCUAGAGCGUGGUGAAGUUACCACUCCCACAUCAUUUACAGAGAAAUGGAAGCAGUCGGUACAAAACAACACAGGUAAGCUCAAAACAUUUUUUGCGAAGCAAUUUGCAAAAGCGACAAUUCUUCGCAUUGCCAAAAACACCAGGGCUAAAUUCCAGAGAAAGGAGAAAGUUGAAAGCAGUGAAUCGGUGGAGGAGCUUGUUAAUGAUGUCGACUUGCUGCUUCAGACUGUAAAAGAUUGUAAUUCAAAUGAGUUUGAACUAUUUAAACAAAUUUCGAUCGGCAAAUCUCUGGAGUUCACCCAGGCCCUCACAGACAUGCUAAAUAAAUAUGCUGUAGGGGACAUGGGACCUGAAACUUUACCUGAUUGUUUCAGAACAGCACAUGUAAACCUACAAGUGAAAGUUUUCUUGGCACUCAUGAGAUGGUGGUUAUGCACCCAAGCUGAGAGCCAUAGUCAGAGUGUAAUGCUUGCAAUACUUGGGACUCAAGAACCACAGACAGAACCACAGACAGAACCACAGACGGAACCACAGACAGAACCACAGACGGAACCACAGACAGAAACACAGACACAACCACAGACAGAAACACAGACACAACCACAGACACAACCACAGACACAACCACAGACAGAAACACAGACACAACCACAGACAGAACCACAGACAGAAACACAGACACAACCACAGACACAACCACAGACAGAACCACAGACGAUGGAAAGAAUUCCAGUUGUAACGUCCCAACCAAAACCUGAGCCGUUUGUACUAGAUGAUCCUGUACACAAAGCUUACAUUAAAAUAGUCCUUCAUAAAUUAUUUAACCGCAUAGCUAAAAAAUUAAAGAUGAAGUGCACUUGUGUAGGCACACAGAAGAUCCACACCUGGCUUUUGGAAGAAGUAUGGGGCGAACUCAGGGAUAAAAAACUUACUAUAACUCCACAAAACCUAAAAAAUCUGGAAAAGUACAUUCUUAGAGACUUGCGCAAUUUCUUUGGGAGUGUCGAAACUGUUCAGGUUGCUCUGGAGUUACAGAAAUCCACAGCUGUAAAAAUCAUUACACAAUGCUUGACUGAACAUCUGUCAGACACAAAAAAGAAGCCAAAUGCCAUUGUCAGGUUUUUCACUGCGUUGACCAAAGCCAUCACCAAGCCAUUUAGACGCACAACUUGAAGUGGUGGUUUUUAACAUCAACUUAGUAUUCAUCUUGAAGGAAAAACAGUCAUCUUUUUCCUUGCAGAUGAAUACCGAAAUACAUAACAUCAAAAAUGUCGUAGCAAGAGAGAAAUUUGAUUAUAACUGGAUUCAAAUCCCCCAACCGGUCUCGGCAGAUGGCCGCCCGCCUGAGCCUGGUUCUGCCGCAGGUUUCCUCCCAUUAAAGGGGGGUUUUUCCUGCCCACUGUUGCCAAGUGCUUGCUCAUAGGGGAUCAUAAGAUUGUUGGGGUUUUCUCUCUUGCAUUGUAGGG
ensembl:lncRNA